GCCAGCUCAUCAGGCUCCCGAGAGCCAACC
rnacentral:sRNA from 1 species